CCCCCCCCCCCCGGGGUCCAUCCGGCGGUGCGUUUGCCUGCACCCUUGUGCGGGAGCCAGCGCUCCACCUCGAAGUGGGAGGGGGUGUGAGGCCUGCAGGAGGCUCGGUCAGGAGGCGGCAGCCACCACGUUUUCCAGAAUGCACCCCAGUCCAGCGUCCCUGGGCAAUGUUUUUAAGGCGCCUGGCCCACCUCCUGCUUUGUUCUCACGUUUCCGUCUGCCCCUCCUCCGUGAACCGUGCCCUAGGCCAGUCUCCCCAGGACUGGGGACCAGCGGGAGAGGGCAUCAGUGUGCCCGGGCAGGGAACUGGAGUGAGGCUGGCACAAGCACUUGGCCCGGGGCUCAGGGGUGCGCUCCCAUCCGGGUCCGUCCGGCUGCGCGCCUGGCCUUCCCUGGGAGGCCCCCUCCUCCCCAAAGAGAAAGAACUGGAGGUUCAUCCUGCCCGAGCGUCCCUCCCGAGAACCUGCGGGUGUCAGCGCCGCAAGAGGAGGCUGCGACGCCAGGUGGCGAUGGACUGGGCCAGGAGUCUGCGGGGACCUGCGCCCCAGGUGCAAGGAGGGGGUGGUCCCAGGUGCACAGCCGAGCCUGGACGCGCACGAGGCGGAGCCAGAUUCAUUUCCCAACCGAAGUUCAGACGGUUGCCUGCCUGCCCGCCGCCUGCCCGGCCAGGGCCCAUCCAGGAGGAGGAGGCUGAGGGCAGCUGGCUCUCUGGAACACCCACCAGCUAUUUUUAUCUUGGCUUUUGUCUUGCAGACACUUCCUGCUAAGUAGUGAUGAAACACCUUCUCAGGCCUGGCAUGUGGAGGGGCAGGGAGGGGCCAGAGCUUCCAGGGGGGGGGGGGGAGGGGGGUGGUAUGUGAUCUUAGUCACUUCCCUUCAUGGCAGGCAGUCCUUCCAGCUAGUUCCUGCAAGGGCCAUGGGUCAAUAAAUGUUGCUGAGUGAAUGUGCAUUGUCAGCCUAUCCGCCUGCUCUGGGUGUUGGAGCCUGUCGGUCCCUUUGCCUGUGUCUGUCUGCCUGUAGGGCCAGGGCCUGGGGACCAGACAAUGACAGCCAAUCAUCGGUAUGAGCUCAGGAGAAAUAAUCAGCCCAGGAAAUUUGCCAUGGGGGACGGGCUGGGGCAGCCCCCACUGUGGUGCCCGAUUCUCUCCAGGCACCAGCAACCUCCUCCCCUCUUGCUCCCCACCUGCUCCCUGCAAGCUGGGCUGGGCUGUCCAUCGCUGCUCCCUGGAGCCCUGGGGGUACACCCCUCCUGGGAUGCACCCUUGUUGGGCAAUGAAUCGGCCCUGGGCUUGCAGUCUCCCCAAGGCCCCCAGUGACCCCCUCCUGGCAUUCAGAUCCCGCAGACGUGACGGGCUGUCUCUUCAAGAUGAGGUGGCAAGUGCUGCCUGCUCUCGUCUGUCUGACAGUGUUUACUCUGGGGAGACCAGCUGUGCUUUGCUAGGAAGAAGGCACCCCUAGUGGCCUUGAGGCCUGUGGUCACCGCCCUGACAGUCAGCUUAGCAGCAGGUCCUCCGGCACCGUCCGGCCCUCAGACAAGCCCCAGUUGCAGCGACAGUCAGGGCUGGAAGCUUGAAGCUCUGUGCUUGGCCCACAUCACCCCCUGACCUCACAGUAAGAGAGGUGCAGAUACCUGAGCAGCAAUAGCUUCCCGCCUCCAACCCUCCCAUCCUUACCCUGGGGGUGGGGCUCCCCCAGCAUCCUUCCUUGCCUUGUCCCAGCACAGUGAGGGGAAGGGCCCAGCAGCCCCAAGUGUGGGGAGGCCCACUGUCUUCUCCAGGCUCCCAUGCCCACCCCCCAACUUCUGUGCUGGCCACAGUCUGAGCCCAAAAUCCCUGCCCAGGGCCUGGAUGGCUCCAGCCUGAGCACCCCCAACUCCUGACCCCCUCCCUUACUGUCCUUCAAGGCCCCAGGCACCUCAGCACCCCGGAUGUGGGCUCUCCUUGCCAACCCAGGUCAGGGAAGUGUUGCACAGGCCUUGGCCAGGCUGUUCUGUGGGGACCAGGAGCAAAUCUUCAUGAUCUUGGGUGUCAUCUGGGCACCGAGAGGUUGCUGGUUCGAUUCCCUGUCAGGGCACAUGCCUGGGUUGUGGGCUGGAUCCCAAGUAGGGGGCAUGCAGGAGGCAGCUGAUCACUGUUGUGCUCUCAUAUUGAUGUUUUUCUCUUCUCCCUUUCCCUGUAGAAAUCAAUAAAUUAUCCUUAAAAUAUAUAUUCAAAGUGGAAUUAAUAAAAUUAAAGUGUUUUGUACUUCGAAGGACAUUAGCAAACAAGCAAAAAGACAGAAUGGGCGACAAUAUUUGCAAAACAUAUUGACAAGGGACUUGUCUUUAGAAUCCUAUCUAAUAAAGAGGGAAUAUGCUAAUUGACCACAAUGCCCUCACAAAGAUGGUGGCGUCCGCAGCCAAUAAAGAGGGAAUAUGCUGCACUAACCGGUUUGGCUCAGUGGAUAGAGUGUCGGCCUGCGGACUCAAGGGUCCCAGGUUCAAUUCAGGUCAAGGGCAUGUACCUUGGUUGCGGGCACAUCCCCAGUAGGAGGUGUGCAAGAGGCAGCUGAUCGAUGUCUCUCUCUCUCAUCGAUGUUUCUAACUCUCUAUCCCUCUCCCUUCCUCUCUGUAAAAAAUCGAUAAAAUAUAUUU